GGAGGGCAAGUCUGGUGCCAGCAGCCGCGGUAAUUCCAGCUCCAAUAGCGUAUAUUAAAGUUGUUGCAGUUAAAAGGCUCGUAGUUGAAUUUCGGGGUUCUACCGUUGGUCGGGCUUUGUCAGUACUGGUGUGUAGAAUUUCUACCUUCUGGGGAACCAUCAUGCUAUUAAUUUAGCGUGGUGGGAAACCAGGACCUUUACCUUGAAAAAAUUAGUGUGUUCAAAGCAGGCUUAUGUCUGAAUACAUUAGCGUGGAAUAAUAGAAUAGGACGGUGGUCCUGUUUUGUUGGUUUCUGAAUCACCGUAAUGAUUAAUAGGGAUAGUUGGGGGGCAUUAGUAUUCAAUUGUCAGAGGUGAAAUUCUUGGAUUUAUUGAAGACUAACUUCUGCGAAAGCAUUUGCCAAGGAUGUUUUCAUUAAUCAAGAACGAAAGUUAGGGGAUCGAAGACGAUCAGAUACCGUCGUAGUCUUAACCAUAAACUAUGCCGACUAGGGAUCGGACGAUGUUAAUUUUUCUUGACUCGUUCGGCGCCUUACGGGAAA
rnacentral:rRNA from 1 species